AACGAACGCUGGCGGCAUGCCUAACACAUGCAAGUCGAACGAGGCCUUCGGGUCUAGUGGCGCACGGGUGCGUAACGCGUGGGAACCUGCCUUUAGGUUCGGAAUAACUCAGAGAAAUUUGGGCUAAUACCGGAUGAUGUCUUCGGACCAAAGAUUUAUCGCCUUUAGAUGGGCCCGCGUUGGAUUAGCUAGUUGGUGGGGUAAAGGCCUACCAAGGCGACGAUCCAUAGCUGGUCUGAGAGGAUGAUCAGCCACACUGGGACUGAGACACGGCCCAGACUCCUACGGGAGGCAGCAGUGGGGAAUAUUGGACAAUGGGCGAAAGCCUGAUCCAGCAAUGCCGCGUGAGUGAUGAAGGCCUUAGGGUUGUAAAGCUCUUUUACCCGAGAUGAUAAUGACAGUAUCGGGAGAAUAAGCGCCGGCUAACUCCGUG
rnacentral:rRNA from 1 species